AUUCCAGUGAUCACACACCUACAACACCCCUCCCUCAGCACUUUGUCUUGAAACUUUUUGAUGUACUUAUGAUGUAACAAUUACAUCAUAUGCAUCAUCAGAAUUGGUAUUUAAUCCAUCCUACUUGGCUAACCUGAAUCUCUUUGGAAGCAAGGAUGCCAUCAGAUCUUUUAUUUCCAGCCCAGUACCAUAUACAGUGCUCCACACACAGCAAAUAAAGAAAUGAAGAUGCAAAGAGCUUAAAUGAUUUUAAGACCUCAUAGGCAUUUAGCUACAAAGUUUUAUUUUUCUCAGCUGAAUGUUCUUUCCAUCAUUUUAUUGAGGUAUUCCCCCGAACCUAGGGAACUGGAAACAACCCUUUUCAUUUCCAGAAAGCACGGCUCUUUCCCCGUUUAAGGAGCUUAGGGGAUACUCCUGAAGAGACAGCCUGCUUCUCAACUUCGGACACCCAAACUUGGCCUAUCUCCCCACUGAGGAUUGGUUAGGCUGUCAACAUUCUCUAAUUAAACUCGGAGAGGCACUGAGGCACUGAGGCUGUGCUGCUGGGCGAAUCAGCUGAACAGUCACCCAGACAAGCCACCGCUCUGAAAAAUAAAAACCCGUCUCCCAAGAUUAACGAGGAGAGA
rnacentral:lncRNA from 1 species